GCCUGGGUGGCUCAGUUGGUUGAGUGACCAACUUUGGCUCAGGUCAUGAUCUCACCGUUUGUGGGUUCAAGCCCCACAUCAGGCU
rnacentral:tRNA from 1 species